UCCUCCGUGGUGAAAUGGUAGACACACAUGAUUCAAAAUUAUGCGCGAUAAGCAUGCCGGUUCAAAUCCGGUCGGAGGUA
rnacentral:tRNA from 1 species